AUGGUCAAGGGAGGUCAAGGGAGCUCAAGAAGGGUCAAGGGAGGUCGAGGGGUUCAAGGCAGGAGGUCAAGAAGGGUCAAGAAGGAUCAAGGAAAUUACGAUGCUGUCACUCUCCGAAAACCUGUCAUUAAGCUGUUAUCAGUUUCUUAUUCCCAUGACCUUCAAUAUAAGUACCUGAGCAAGCAGACGGCCGCGCUCCGGGAGGUGAACGACUCCCGCCUGCGGAUCUACGAGCAGCUGGAGAUCUCGAUCCAGGAACUCGAGAAGAACAACCAGAGGCUCUCGGCCGAAAGCGCGUCGGACAAGAAGAAGAUCAAGAACCUGUGCAGCACCCUCGAGUCCCUGGAAGCCCGUUGCGAUGAGCUGCAGAAGAGCCUGGAGGAGGCGCGGUCGGGGCGCAGCAGCAGCAGCGAGGGAGAAACAAGAGAGGUCGAUCAUCUUGGACGAGCAGAACCUGCGCCGUUCCCACUCGUGCGAGAAUACGCCACAGAACUCGGAGGAACGAGCGGCCGAGGAACUGGAAGCCAGGUCCAAGAUCGAGGAGCUGCAGGACAAGAUGAAGCUGCUGCAGAAGGAGAAGGAGGCGGAGAUACGCAAGAAGGAGGAGCUGGAAAUACAGCUGGCAUGCAUGUCACAGGAAAAUGCCGUCCUCAACGACCAGCUGAUGAUCCUGCGAGAGAAGGAGGUGAACCUGCGUUCCUUCGACGAGGAACUGGCCUCCUUGGACGACGCUUCCUUCUUGGGUCGCUGGGGCUCAGACUGGUUUCUCCCACAUCAGUGUCUGGGCAACGUGGACGAGACGGCGAGCAAUCCGACCAUCUACGACCUCCAGGACAGCAUCGAAGACACGGACGUCUCCAUCGAGAGCAUCCACGGAGAGUGCGCCCUCGUCCGGCUCAAAACGGCGGCUACGCGUGGGGCAGCCAGGAGUCUCUGGCAUCCAUUGGUCAGGUGAUGAGCCACAUGGGGUCUGAAGGCACCUCGCCGGGCACUGAGGCCAGCGACGCCCCUCACAACUCUCUCCUGUCAGAGCUGGACACCUCAUACCGCAUCCUCAUCGAGAAAUAUGAGGCCCUCCUGGAGGCCCGAGAACAGCAACAGCAACAACAGCAGCAGCAACAGCAACAGAUGGCCCAGAACAGCGUCAACCAAGACGAGGGCUUGGUGCACCCGGGCGUCGACGACAUGUCCGGCCCAAUGAGUCUGGUCAUGACGGACUCCCUGCACGACGCCAGCGCCAUCACCCUCAAGUGCCAGCGGUGCCACACCUGCACCUGCGACAUGAAGCCCAGCGUGACUCGGCCCAAGAGCAACAUGGAGGAGUUCUCGGAGGUGGAGACGUCGUCCUCGGGCUUCUCCGACGGCGAGAGUCGCCUCAGCAACAAGUCGACGCAGACCGGCGAGGAGGUGUACAGUCAGAAGGAGAUCCUGGAGGACUUGACACCGACGAUUGCCAGUAGAUGCUUGGACUUGAGCUCGCCCGUGAACCCCUGCGACAAGCGGUUCCAGACGGCGCCCGAAUACAAGAAGCUUUUCCAGGAGAUAUUCACUGUGCUGAAGCAAACCGUGGAUGAGAAAGACGCCAUGGGGCAGCCUGGGAAACCAGCGAAGACACAGCAACUCGUAGAAGCGGAUAAGAAUGCACAUAACAGCAAGACCUCUGCCGUGAAAUCUGAAGAUAACGAGUCUAUCACGGAGACCAUCGAGGUGACUGAAGUAACGGAAGUCAAGACCGUCAAAACCAUAGUGAAUUCAGAGAUCCAAAACGUUGCCAGCGAAAAGAAGGCCGAGCACGCGAAGGAAACGCCAUCCAUUGAACGCGAGGACAAGCAGAAGGCAAACAAAGACGAAGUCCAGGGCAAAGAAGAGAGGAGGCCGGAGGUUUUGGACGACCAGAAUGUGCCCGAAGAACAGCGCAUCACCCACAAGCCUCCUCGGCCCGAUUCCCUCGACCUCGGAAGCGGUUCCCGGCCGACCAGCAGGCAGAAGCGCCGCAGCCGGUACCGGAACCGCCUCGACUCCUACCAGCAGCACCAGCAGUACAUGGGCCAGUACCAGUACUCGCACGGAAGCUCGGGCAACGAAUCUCACCAGUCGGGCCACCGCCACCAUAAGAGGGAGCGCGACCACAGCCAGAACCACCAUCACCACCACAGGAACCAAGACGACUUCCCGACGCUGCGAACGGAGAACGAGAACGAGCACAGCAAGACGCGCAUCAUCUACAACUCGUCCCGCAACCGCUGCGAGCACCACCGGUCCAGGAAGCACCGCGGCCGCAGCAACAACCGCCAGCGCCACAGCCAGCAGCACCAGAACGCCAGCCAGGACCAGCAGACGGGCUCCACCCAGAGCCUAGUGAACAGCGACUCGGAGCCCAGAGGGAGAACAGCGCCCCCCAAGAUCAACUACCCGUCCGUCGAGGUCGCCAAACUUCGCAAGUUGGAAAUGUCUUACGCUGAAGUUCUCAAGACUUCCUUCAACAGAUCCCACUACAACCAUCGGCGGUACUAGGGGACAUACCCUGGUACUCGCCGUGGGCUUUGUGUGAAUAGUUUGUUGUACAUCUGAAUUACGCGUUUGUAAUCAAGUAUUCUUUUAUCGUAUGUAGUAUAUGCAGACAGAGGAGUAAGUGUGGCAUAUUCUUUGCCGUUUUAUUUACGUUCCUUUGUCAGAAUUGAUUCAUAUCAUUUUUGUAAAUAUUUAAAAAAGUGUAUAUACAUGGGUACACUGAAGUCAUUGUAUGAUAUUUGUUUGGGUUUGUAUUUAUUUGUUUUAUUAGUGUGCCAAGUAGAGUUUAGUAGCUUCUAGUGUAUUUUUUGUAUUUCUGUUCAUACUUGCGUUCGAGAUGCCACACUCAAUUCCUCCCAGUGAAGGUCUGUUCGUUGGAGUUCCAGUUUGGCUUUGCUGGUUGUGCGGUUUUAACUGUUCUCGUCUUGGUUGAUGUGGAAAAGGAACGAUAAAUUAUGGAAAAGAAGUGAUAAAUCUUUACCUCCUUUAAUCAUCCUAAAUCCUGUGCCAAAUAGAUGGCAACUUUUUUUUACUGCCCGAUAGGAUUUUACAUCAAAUAAUGGAGCGCUGAAAAGGAGUAUAUUCGAUAAAAAAUAAUAAAAAGUAUAUUUAACGGAACAGUUUGUAGAUUGAUAAUGUGAUCCAUUAUUGUUAAGAGCUAUGUUGAAGUUAUGUUGUUGAUAGAUGAGCCUUUCUUCUGACAAAGAAUGUUUUAAACAUAUAUGUUAAGACAUCAAAAGUCAAAAAGCACUAUGGUAAAGUAUUGAGAAAGUAGGAAUUCUUUAUGGAAAUUCAUAUACAGUGAUUGGCUGUAAAUGCACGGUGUCGUCCUCCCAAAAUGAUUCGUUUCUAGUCGUCAAAGAUUCAUCAUCUAUGUGUUAAGGACUUUUUUUUUAGGUCACACAUUUACCCUUUUUUAAAUAGUGUUAAAAAGUUCAGAACUGAAAAGAGAUGAUAAAAAAAUGUUCCCUCGUGACAAGUGCAAUAUUUUAAAACAUUCCAGUCGAGUUAUUUUUUUCCUGAUUUUGGUAAUCCAUUUUAAAAGUGGAGCGAGAGAAAAAAAUCACCCCCCCUUUCCCCCCUCCAUCUCCCUCCCUUUUGUGUAGGAGUUUGUGAUAGAAGCAGUACUACCCCUUUGUAGUCACUCACAUUUUAUUUACUUGAAAGGAAAAAAAUUGCAAAAGAAAAUAAAUGAUUGGUGUAGUCAUCGGAAAGCCAUCGAUUCCAUUACAUAUUUUUAAUGGUGUUUGAAGAUCUAGAAGCUUCGCCAGUCUUUCUUUUGUGAUAAGUAGCAUCUGUGGAUAUCACAUGCGUCACCCAGAUUAACAUAGAGGUCAGUGAAGUAUCCUGUAGAUUUCAUAGGUUAAAAUGUUAUAAACAUGUUCAUGUAUUUGAUAAAAGAGGAAAAACAUAUCGUUUGAUUGCAUUUAUAAAGGAAUACUUCUUUAGGUAAAAUGUCUUUCCCUUUGAUUUUUUGUGAGAAAAGACUAUCGUUAAACAAUUACAAAAGACCGGAAAAUCGGACCUCAAGAAGAAAGGAAAAAAAGAAUAACAGGAAGAAAAAAAAGUUUUUGAUUUAGCAAAAGCUUGACAAAAAAAAUGAGUUUGUAGUUAUGCAUUUCAAUCUCUGUUACAUACCCGCUUCUAGGGAGGCUAAAUAAAGCUCCAUAAACCGUCUUAUAGAGCUUUAUAUACUACUUCAGCUCUUCCCUUGUAUUAUACGUCAUUAUAAACACUUUACCUGUGCUCUUUUAGCCUCACCUUGGGUUAUCAUUGCAGGUAGCUUGUUAUUAAGCUUAUGUGCUGGACAAGGAGAACAUAUAUUAAAAAUUUGUGACUAUGAA